rnacentral:rRNA from 1 species
UACGUAGGUUGCAAGCGUUGUCCGGAUUUACUGGGCGUAAAGGGCGCGUAGGCGGCCACCGCAAGUCGACUGUGAAAUCUCCGGGCUUAACUCGGAAAGGUCAGCCGAUACUGCGGGGCUAGAGUGCAGAAGGGGCAACUGGAAUUCUCGGUGUAGCGGUGAAAUGCGUAGAUAUCGAGAGGAACACCUGCGGCGAAGGCGGGUUGCUGGGCUGACACUGACGCUGAUGCGCGAAAGCUAGGGGAGCGAACGGG